rnacentral:rRNA from 1 species
GAACGGCUCAUUACAACAGCUUAUAUCUACUUGAUUUUGACUUUCCUAAUUGGAUAACUGCGUUAAUUUUGGAGCUAAUACAUGCAUCAAAGCUCUGAACCUCGUGUGAAGAGCGCAUUUAUUAGAAUAAGACCAAUCGGGGCGACCCGUCAUUGGUGACUCUGAAUAACGUAGCUGAUCGCAUGGUCUUGCACCGGCGAUAGGUCAUUCGAUUGUCUGCCUUAUCAACUUUCGAUGGUAGUUUAUGUGACUACCAUGGUUGUAACGGGUAACGGAGAAUUAGGGUUCGACUCCGGAGAGGGAGCCUGAGAAACGGCUACCACAUCCAAGGAAGGCAGCAGGCGCGUAAAUUACCCACUCUCAAUACGAGGAGGUAGUGACUAUCAAUAACGAGACCGAUCUCUUUGAGGCCGGUUAUCGGAAUGAAAACAAUUUAAACCC